CCUACGGGAGGCUGCAGUGGGGAAUAUUGCACAAUGGGCGCAAGCCUGAUGCAGCGACGCCGCGUGAGGGAUGACGGCCUUCGGGUUGUAAACCUCUUUCGCCAGGGACGAAGCGCAAGUGACGGUACCUGGAGAAGAAGCACCGGCCAACUACGUGCCAGCAGCCGCGGUAAUACGUAGGGUGCGAGCGUUGUCCGGAAUUACUGGGCGUAAAGAGCUCGUAGGCGGUUUGUCGCGUCGUCUGUGAAAUUCUGCAGCUUAACUGCAGGCGUGCAGGCGAUACGGGCAGACUUGAGUACUACAGGGGAGACUGGAAUUCCUGGUGUAGCGGUGAAAUGCGCAGAUAUCAGGAGGAACACCGGUGGCGAAGGCGGGUCUCUGGGUAGUUACUGACGCUGAGGAGCGAAAGCGUGGGGAGCAAACAGGAUUAGAUACCCCAGUAGUC
rnacentral:rRNA from 1 species